UUUUUACAACACAGAAUACACAAGGACUGCCACAAGUGACAGUACAAGAGCAUACCUAACCAUUUUGUUCAGCAAAAUACUCUUGAUCUCUUUAGCACUCCCACUUCCCAGGACAGGUCCUCAAAGUCCUUGGAAACAAGGAAGACAGCACAGGAACUUAGCAGCACUCUUAGCAGCAGCACUUAGCUCACUGGUACGCUGUGACAGAUCUGCACAGCAGCCUCAUAGCCAGAAUAUUCAUUUCUGGAGCAUGGAGGAUCUCGGCGUGCUUUACAAACAACAUUUAAUUGCCAUAAUCCCCAGUAAAAGUAUUAUAUCUAGUUCACCAGUAGAUAAACUGACGCACACAGAGCUUAGGGGACUUGCCCAAGGUCACACUCUGAGUCAGUGGUGAGCUGGUGACAGAGACGUGACUCGGGGCAGACGGCAGGACCGGGGCUGAUGCUGUGCCUGCCUGGCCCGGCCCCGCCGGCGAGGCCUCUCCGGGGCGAGGAUCAGCAGCUGGACUGACAAACGAGUGCGAGAGGGGAGGGUAGGUGGAGAAAUCCCCUGGUGAAGUGUGGCUGAUCUUCCUCUUAGAAGAUGCUCAGCCACAAUGGUACAUCCACCUGGGCUCACUGUUUAUUUUUACAGCUCAUUGGAAGAUGCACGUUGGCAGCCCAGGGACCUGCAGGUACCAAACUCUCUGAGAUACAACCUUCAACAGUGCCUGGCUUGGGAAGCAGGGUCUCUCCAGAACGUCUUCGCACGUGUGAGCACCUGUUUGUACGCAGUUAUCUGCUUUGCAUGUGAAAGCCUGAGCCUGUGCAUGGCCACACGGGCGCAACUUCAGACGUUUGAUAAUUUGGCCCUGGCUGCGCUGUCAGCUGCUGUCACUUUCUGUUUAGCGCAGCGUUCAUAA
rnacentral:lncRNA from 1 species